rnacentral:tRNA from 1 species
AGGAUUGUAAUUAAUUAUAAUAUUUGAUUUGCAUUCAAAAAGUGCUUGCAUAAGUCAAUCUUA